CAGAACAAAUUUUUGACUGGAACCAAUUACAUGAAAGUGCCAUCCAAGCCCCCACAACAGACGCCUUCCGGGUCUGUGUGUGACAGUUCCUGGCGUAACUAUUGAUACCUGAUUUUAACCCUGUAUAGUUGUUGCAAACUCACAUAAUUUUAUUUGAUUUUGUUCCUGUAAAUACACAAGUUUUUGUUUCUUUUUAACUUGGCGAGUACUGGUUGACACACCCGCACAGUAUAUCUGUGUUAUGGAAAUUUCAACUGCAGAUUAACCACAAAAUAUAGAAGAAGAAGUACAAUAAACACUAGACAACAGGAAUGACAGGAUAUAUCUUUUGGGGGAUGGAUGGUAACUGAAUCAAUACGAAUAGCCUCAUUGAAUUUGAAAAAAGCUGCAAAUGAUAUCAGUAAUAAAAGAUUGUUAGUGUGCAGUGUGCAGUGUGCAGACAGUGGUUAAACAGAAGUUAACAUUCUAUUAGUUUUGGGAUUUUACAAUCAAUGCCAAAAUGAAUGAUAAUGCUAGAGGAAAUAAUAGGAGAAAAAGGGACCUGUGUGGUAAAAACUUCCUAAAAGUCGUCCUUUAUGUGUUCAACUUUUUCUUUUGGCUGACAGCCCGGUUAGCUUUCCUAGCAUUAGGGUUAUAUAUCAAGUUCCAGAAGCAUUCCUAUUUCAAUCUGCUAGGGAACAGUACUUUCCCUUUGGCAACAUACUAAUGCUACUAGGAACAGGAGCCUUUAUUAUCUUGUCAGGAAUCAUUUGUUGUACUGGGACAUGUAUAGAAAAUAGAUGUUUUAUGGUUAUGUCCUUUGUGUGAAGAGUGUGUAAAGAUAGCUACAAGAAGAAUUGCACUAAAACAGUCAAAGUCUGUAGCUGUUUUCAGUCGUUUAAACUCCACAUUUCCUUACAAUCCAACAUACAUUAGAAGUAAAGCAUAUAAGAAUGACAAUCUACAACAAUUCACAUAUGGAAGUGGUAUAUAUAUAGUAAAGUUUCUAAAACAUUCUUACCACAAAUUCUUUUAGUUCAUAAUGUGAUACCCAGACCAUUAAAACAUUAAAUAUAACAGGAGCACCCGUUAUUGUGUUAAAUCAUAGACAAAUCGGAAAAUUAGCUAGGGUUGUUGGUAGAGUACUGAAGAUCAGAUAUUUUGUACUUGGUACAGUGGCUGGUGGUGGAAUGGUAUUGAACCAG